rnacentral:rRNA from 1 species
GAUGAACGCUGGCGGCGUGCCUAAUACAUGCAAGUCGAGCGAACAGACGAGGAGCUUGCUCCUCUGACGUUAGCGGCGGACGGGUGAGUAACACGUGGAUAACCUACCUAUAAGACUGGGAUAACUUCGGGAAACCGGAGCUAAUACCGGAUAAUAUAUUGAACCGCAUGGUUCAAUAGUGAAAGACGGUUUUGCUGUCACUUAUAGAUGGAUCCGCGCCGCAUUAGCUAGUUGGUAAGGUAACGGCUUACCAAGGCGACGAUGCGUAGCCGACCUGAGAGGGUGAUCGGCCACACUGGAACUGAGACACGGUCCAGACUCCUACGGGAGGCAGCAGUAGGGAAUCUUCCGCAAAGGGCGAAAGCCUGACGGAGCAACGCCGCGUGAGUGAUGAAGGUCUUCGGAUCGUAAAACUCUGUUAUUAGGGAAGAACAAAUGUGUAAGUAACUAUGCACGUCUUGACGGCACCUAAUCAGAAAGCCACGGCUAACUACGUG